rnacentral:lncRNA from 1 species
ACCCACCCGCAGCGCGCUGCCCCUGCCCGGGGCGAUGCUGGCACCGCGUCCGGGAGCGAUGUGCAACGCGACGGCAGCCACAGCCCUGGCACGCGCCCAGCGGCACCGCGGGCGGCAGCGGCACAGCUGCGGGCACUGCCCGGGAGCUGCCAGCGCGCAGCCCCGAGAGCGGCGGCAACAAAGGGCAGCGUGCAGGGAGGCGGCACGGCCGGAAAGAUGAAAUGCAGCGCGAUGCAACGCGAUGCGAUGCAAUGCGAGCAGCCCGCACAAAGCCGCCGCUCAGCCCGCGUUCCUGCUAAGCCCUUUCCUCUCGGAAAAAUAAAAUCGGUUCUGAGGAAGGUGAAGAGCGGCGGCCGCACCGAGCGAGCCACGCUCCCCUAUGCGGAUGCUUUAUUGCAAUCCCAUUGUUCCACUUCCCCGCUCCAUUCCUCUUCCUUAAAAAUAACCCACGGUUUCCAACUUCGGGGGACGAAACCCGCGCCGGGGCUCCCUUUUGUCCUCGUCCCCUUUAGCGAACCCAACUCGUGCAGCCGGAUUUCGCGUCCUCCCCCCACCUAUCCUCUCCCGGCGCAUCCCGGCGCCCGGCCGCGCUCUUUGUCCGCCGCUCACCCACCUUGCCUGCCCACGAUCUCCGCGACGUGCUCCGAGCUGGGCACCGGCACGCACUCCGUCAUGUUCACGCUCUUUUUCCGAGGCUCGCUGUCGUAAAUGGAGCCCGCCUCGUCGUUGUCCAGCCCCAGCAGGGAGAGCUGGUCCAGGGCGAUCUGCAGGGCUCGCUGGUCAUCCAGGGUCUCUCCCCCUCCGCCUCCUCCUCCUCCUCCGCCGCCGCCGCUGCCGUUCCGCUCCAUGUCGGCGAAGAGCGAGCUGGGCAUGGUCCGCGCCGCGCUGCAGCCGCCGCCUGCGCCGGGCUGGGGCGCGGGGCUCCGACACAAAGGCAGCCCGAGGCCAGCGGGAGCGCGGGGCGGGGGGCGGGCGGCUGCCGCAGCCGGCGGGCGGUCGCCUUUCGCUGGGAUAUUUUGUAUCUUUCUUUUUUUUGUUGUUGUUUUUCCUCCUCGCUCCGUGCAAUCCGGUUUAUAAGAUGGUUUCGGGACCCCCCCCACCGCACGGCUCCCCCCUCGAGGCUUUUUCUUUUUUUUUUUUUCUUUUUUUUUUUUUUUUUUGGAGUGAGCAAUAGGUUAAAAGUUGCCAAUAUUUCAGAAGAAUGCCAAGUUAUGGUAACGUUUC